rnacentral:rRNA from 1 species
AGGAGGUUUGAUCCUGGCUCAGAACGAACGCUGGCGGCGUGCUUAACACAUGCAAGUCGAGUGCGCGCUUCGGUAGCAAUACUGGAGUGGCGCACGGCGCACGGGUGCGUAACACGUGGGUAAUCUGCCCUUCGAUGGGGAAUAACCUCGCGAAAGCGAGGCUAAUUCCGCAUAACAUUCCGAGGAUUUCGGUUCUUGGAUUCAAAGGAGCAAUUCGUCGAAGGAGGAGCCCGCGCACGAUUAGCUAGUUGGUAGGGUAAUGGCCUACCAAGGCUUUGAUCGUUAGCUGGUCUGAGAGGAUGGCCAGCCACACUGGAACUGAGACACGGUCCAGACUCCUACGGGAGGCAGCAGUGGGGAAUCUUGCACAAUGGGCGAAAGCCUGAUGCAGCGACGCCGCGUGGGGGAUGAAGCAUUUCGGUGUGUAAACCCCUUUCGACCCGGACGAAUGCCUCGCAAGAGGACUGACGGUACGGGUAUAAGAAGCCCCGGCUAACUACGUGCCAGCAGCCGCGGUAAGACGUAGGGGCCAGCG